UCCACGAUGCCUGCUGCUCAGUUCCUGACCUCUGCCUGACCCCCGCCCUGCCCACCGCAAGGCCACGCAGAUGGUUACGUAGGAGCCGUCCAGGCUUCUAUCUCCCCGGAGGCCCCCCCGGGAGGCUCUGCCGCCCCCCCUGCGCACUUGGAACAUGGCCAGCUCCACUACCUCCGCCCGCUGCCUCUAGACUCUGUCAAGGCUAUGGGACUGGCAGAACGGCAACCACCAUCGCACCCCAGAAACAACCCAGGGAGAACUGCUCCCCGGCCCUCAGAGACGGCAGAUGCCCCGGAACCGGUUAGCAGCCCCGCAUCCUCCCAGCCGCCCUAGACACCUCCAACCCAACGCCAAGGCUACAAAUCUAUUUCCAGCCUUAUCCUGGUCAGGUUACGGACCGAGUCUCUGGCUCAAACACCUUCACGCCUUCCUGCAGCCUGCAAACGUCAGUCUUGGCUCCUUAGCCUGGCAUGGGAGGCCCCUCACCACCUAGCUCCAGCUCUGCAGCUCUGGCACAAGCCCUCCCAGGUCCUCCCGAACACCUGCUGCAGCCACCCUCAUCUGCUCAUCACCCGCGAGCAAAUCCUGCUCAAGCCACCGUCUCCAACUGGGGCCUUCUCAUCUCCGCCGUGCCACCUCUGCAAGGCGGCUCUCACUGUGCUCCCAUCCCCAGCGCACGCUGCACACCCUGCCUUCUUCUGCAGCUAUGCCUGAGCAUGUCCUAUGCAUCCAGAUGGCUCCUGAGCUCCUCUAGGGCAGGGCCGAUGUCACACUCAUGGCCUUUUAUUGUUUUAAAUCCCAGUCAAUCAAUGUCUGUGAAAUGAAGGGUUG